rnacentral:rRNA from 1 species
CUAGAGAUAGAAAGUUACUUCGGUACAUCGGUGACAGGUGGUGCAUGGUUGUCGUCAGCUCGUGUCGUGAGAUGUUGGGUUAAGUCCCGCAACGAGCGCAACCCCUACGUUUAGUUGCUAACGCGUGAAGGCGAGCACUCUAGACGAACUGCCGUUGACAAAACGGAGGAAGGUGGGAUGACGUCAAAUCAUCAUGCCCCUUAUGUUCUGGGCUACACACGUGCUACAAUGGCCGGUACAGACGGACGCAAAGCCGCGAGGUGGAGCAAAUCCUAAAAAGCCGGUCUCAGUUCGGAUUGCAGGCUGCAAUUCGCCUGCAUGAAGUCGGAAUCGCUAGUAAUCGUAGAUCAGCAUGCUACGGUGAAUACGUUCCCGGGCCUU